rnacentral:rRNA from 1 species
UACAGAGGUCCCAAGCGUUGUUCGGAUUCAUUGGGCGUAAAGGGUGCGUAGGUGGCGCCGUAAGUCGGGUGUGAAAUUUCGGAGCUCAACUCGGAAAUGGCAUUGGAAACUACCUUGCUCGAGGGUUGGAGGGGGGACUGGAAUGCUUGGUGUAGCAGUGAAAUGCGUAGAUAUCAAGCGGAACACCAGUGGCGAAGGCGAGUCCCUGGACAACUCCUGACACUGAGGCACGAAAGCUAGGGGAGCAAACAGG